rnacentral:rRNA from 1 species
GUGCCAGCAGCCGCGGUAAUACGUAGGUGGCAAGCGUUGUCCGGAAUUAUUGGGCGUAAAGGGCUCGCAGGCGGUUUCUUAAGUCUGAUGUGAAAGCCCCCGGCUCAACCGGGGAGGGUCAUUGGAAACUGGGAAACUUGAGUGCAGAAGAGGAGAGUGGGAUUCCACGUGUAGAGGUUAAAUGCGUAGGGAUGUGGAGGAAAACCGUGGGCGAAGGCGACUUUCUG